rnacentral:rRNA from 1 species
UACGUAGGUCCCGAGCGUUGUCCGGAUUUAUUGGGCGUAAAGCGAGCGCAGGUGGUUUAUUAAGUCUGGUGUAAAAGGCAGUGGCUCAACCAUUGUAUGCAUUGGAAACUGGUAGACUUGAGUGCGGGAGAGGAGAGUGGAAUUCCAUGUGUAGCGGUGAAAUGCGUAGAUAUAUGGAGGAACACCGGUGGCGAAAGCGGCUCUCUGGCCUGUAACUGACACUGAGGCUCGAAAGCGUAGGGAGCAAACAGG